GUGCCAGCAGCCGCGGUAAUAGGGAGGGUGCAAGCGUUGUCCGGAAUCACUGGGUGUAAAGGGUGUGCAGGCGGGGCGGCAAGUCGGAGGUGGAAGUCCAUGGCUUAACCAUGGAAGUGCCUUCGAAACUGUUGCUCUUGAGUCCCGGAGAGGUUGCCGGAAUUCGUGGUGUAGCGGUGAAAUGCGUAGAUAUCACGAGGAACACCAGAGGCGAAAGCGGGCAACUGGACGGGUACUGACGCUCAGGCACGAAAGCGCGGGGAGCAAACAGGAUUAGAUACCCCUGUAGUCC
rnacentral:rRNA from 1 species